rnacentral:rRNA from 1 species
CCUACGGGUGGCUGCAGUGGGGAAUAUUGCACAAUGGGGGGAACCCUGAUGCAGCGACGUCGCGUGGGUGAGGAAGUACUUCGGUAUGUUAAGCCCUAUUAGCAGGGAAGAAAAUGACGGUACCUGACUAAGAAGCCCCGGCUAAAUACGUGCCAGCAGCCGCGGUAACACGGAGGGGGCAAGCGUUAUCCGGAUUUACUGGGUGUAAAGGGAGCGUAGACGGGGUGCCAAGUCUGGUGGGAAAGGCCGGGGGUCAACCCCGGGACUGCAUUGGAAACUGGCAUGCUGGAGUGGCGGAGGGGCAAGCGGAAUGCCUGGUGUAGCGGUGAAAUGCGUAGAUAUUAGGAGGAACACCGAUGGCGAAGGCAGCUUGCUGGACGGUAACUGACGUUGAGGCUCGAAAGCGUGGGGAGCAAACAGGAUUAGAUACCCUUGUAGUC